rnacentral:misc_RNA from 1 species
GAUGAAGAACGUAGCGAAAUGCGAUAAGUAAUGUGAAUUGCGGAAUUCAGUGAAUCAUCGAAUCUUUGAACGCACAUUGCGCCCCUUGGUAUUCCGAGGGGCAUGCCUGUUCGAGCGUCAUUAUAACCCCUCAAGCUCAGCUUGGUGUUGGGGCCUGCUGCACUGGCAGCCCUUAAAAUCAGUGGCGGCGCCAUCUGGCUCUAAGCGUAGUAAUUUCUCUCGCUAUAGAGUCCCGGUGGAUGCUUGCCAGCAACCCCCAACUUUCUAUGGUUGACCUCGGAUCAGGUAGGGAUACCCGCUGAACUUAAGCAUAUCAAUAAGCGGAGGA